UUCUAAUAUGGCAGAAUAGUGCAAUGGUUUUAAGAUCCAUAAAUAAAGUUAUCUUUUUUUAGAAA
rnacentral:tRNA from 1 species